rnacentral:lncRNA from 1 species
GUUGUUGCUGCCUUAUGUAUACCGGGACUAAAUAGCAUUACUAGAAUACUGCUCAAUACUCCAUCCGUUUCAAUUCAAAUUGUUGACUGUUCUAUCUUUUUUAUAUCUAUAUAGUUUGCUACAUAUCUAGAUAUAGAUUAUGUGUAGAUGUAUAUAUAUCAAAAACUAUGUAUUAAAAAAAUCAGAGUGAUUUACAAUUUAGUAUAGAGGAAGGAACAUAUGUUUGCGAAAGGGCCUUGAGUAGCACCAGCAGAUCUGGGUUUGACUCCUCGUGGAAACGAAUUUAAACAGGUCUGCAUUAUCAAAAAAUAAAAAAAAAAUAGGCUAGGGUUUUCCUUGCUGACUUCGGUCAAAAAAGGAACAUAUGUUUCGAAAUAGUAUGAUUGUGACAUUUUGACUAACAUUGUUUGCAAAAUGACAGAAGUGUCCUUGGAUUUGUACAAAUACUUACUCACUUAAAACUCCCUCCAUCUUGAACAUAGGUUUCGAAAUAGUAUGAUGUUGACAUUUUGACUAACAUUGUUUGCAAAAUGACAGAAGUGUCCUUGGAUUUGUACAAAUACUUACUCACUUAAAACUCCCUCCAUCUUGAACAUAGGUUUCGAAAUAGUAUGAUGUUGACAUUUUGACUAACAUUGUUUGCAAAAUGACAGAAGUGUCCUUGGAUUUGUACAAAUACUUAUUCACUUAAAACUCCCUCCAUCUUGUAUUACAGUGCAUUGUGGCUAUAUAUUCUAAAACAAAAUAAGAGAUAUGGUAAUAGACGCAUGUAUCCCUCACUUAACUUCCUAAUCUAUUGAAUCUAAUCCUAUCUUGCAUGAUAAAAUGGGUGGAAUCUACGUUCCCUUAUAGAAAAUAUGGUAAACAAUGAAUUACUUUCAUUAUUUAAGUAGAACAGAUAAUAAAUGAAAAAUAAAGCAGAAAAUCACGUAUUUUUAUUUAAGUAAAUAUUAUCUUAUUGUUCCUAUAUUUAGGGACAUCUCUCAAACAUCAGAAUGCACUCUGCUCCAGGAUAGAGGUAGUAUGAAAAAAUAAACUGAGUUUUUUUAUAAAAUCCUUGAUUGGGAUGCUAAUGCUGGGCCCUGGGCCCAUACCUCAGUAGGCGGGCGAAUAGGAUAGAAAGCCUGCUAG